rnacentral:rRNA from 1 species
AUUGAACGCUGGCGGCAGGCCUAACACAUGCAAGUCGAACGAGUGGCGGACGGGUGAGCAAUGUCUGGGAAACUGCCUGAUGGAGGGGGAUAACUACUGGAAACGGUAGCUAAUACCGCAUACCAUCAGAUGUGCCCAGAUGGGAUUGGCUAGUGGGUGGGGUAACGGCGCACCAAGGCGACGAGCCCUAGCUGGUCUGAGAGGAUGACCAGCCAAACUGGAACUGAGACACGGUCCAGACGCCUACGGGAGGAAGCAGUGGGGAAUAUUGGACAAGUGGCGCAAGCCUGAUGCAGCCAUGCCGCGUGUGUGAAGAAGGCCUUCGGGUUGUAAAGUACUUUCAGCGGGGAGGCGUUACCCGCAGAAGAAGCACCGGCUAACUCCGUGCCAGCAGCCGCGGUAAUAC